rnacentral:rRNA from 1 species
AUUGAACGCUGGCGGCAGGCCUAACACAUGCAAGUCGAGCGGAUGAAGGGAGCUUGCUCCUGGAUUCAGCGGCGGACGGGUGAGUAAUGCCUAGGAAUCUGCCUGGUAGUGGGGGAUAACGUCUGGAAACGGGCGCUAAUACCGCAUACGUCCUGAGGGAGAAAGUGGGGGAUCUUCGGACCUCACGCUAUCAGAUGAGCCUAGGUCGGAUUAGCUAGUUGGUGGGGUAAAGGCCUACCAAGGCGACGAUCCGUAACUGGUCUGAGAGGAUGAUCAGUCACACUGGGACUGAGACACGGUCCAGACUCCUACGGGAGGCAGCAGUGGGGAAUAUUGGACAAUGGGCGAAAGCCUGAUCCAGCCAUGCCGCGUGUGUGAAGAAGGUCUUCGGAUUGUAAAGCACUUUAAGUUGGGAGGAAGGGCAGUAAGUUAAUACCUUGCUGUUUUGACGUUACCAACAGAAUAAGCACCGGCUAACUUCGUG